rnacentral:sRNA from 1 species
GGGGGGGGUGGUAGCAAAUAGCAAAUAAAUUCACAAAUCAUCAGAUAUCUCUAAAAACAGGCUUAUUUUUUUUGUAAGCAAUAUUUCAAAAUCCAAUUAUGUACUUUGUUUACCAUAUUUGAUGCUUGUAUUUUUCUUAGAAAAAAAACUUGACUGUUUAUUGUAUGAAAUACUUGUAUGAAGUCAUUUUAAGCUUGCCUCAGUCUUUUUUUUCUUUUUUUAAGUAAUGAAUGACACAACACUUACUGCAAGGGUACAUUGUAUAGAGAACCAAGGAAAUAAUAGGUUAUUUAUAUAUAUUUCUACAGUAUACUUAAUUAUGUAUAAUAUGGUAUACAUAUUUAGAUCCAUGAAGAGAUUUUGUUGGAUAUAUAUAUGAGAGAGAGAGAGAGAGAGAGAUUGAGAUUUCAUGAAAUAAAUAUUUUUACACUCUAUGUAAAAUAAGCAAUAAGGAACUAGUGAUAAGUGUCACAAAGUACAUGUAUUUAACAUCAGGUACUGUAAAUAAAAUUUAUGCUUUCUGUU